rnacentral:rRNA from 1 species
GAUGAACGCUGGCGGCGUGCCUAAUACAUGCAAGUCGAGCGAACAGACGAGGAGCUUGCUCCUCUGACGUUAGCGGCGGACGGGUGAGUAACACGUGGAUAACCUACCUAUAAGACUGGGAUAACUUCGGGAAACCGGAGCUAAUACCGGAUAAUAUAUUGAACCGCAUGGUUCAAUAGUGAAAGACGGUUUUGCUGUCACUUAUACAUGGAUCCGCGCCGCAUUAGCUAGUUGGUAAGGUAACGGCUUACCAAGGCAACGAUGCGUAGCCGACCUGAGAGGGGGCUCGGCCACACUGGAAGUGAGACACGGUCCAGACUACUACGGGAGGGAGCAGCAGGGAAUUUGCCGAAAUGGGCGAAAGCCUGACGGAGCAACGGCGAGUGAGUGAUGAAGGUCUUCGGAUCGUAAAACUCUGUUAUUCGGGAAGAACAAAUGUGUAAGUAACUAUGCACGUCUUGACGGUACCUAAUCAGAAAGCUACGGCUAACUACGUG